UGUUGUGCUCCAGCCACAGGUCUGGAAAACGCACGGCUUUGAGACAUUUUAGGCACGGCGUUCAGGCAUUUUAGACACAGAUCUAUCGGGUUCAAACGUUAGUGAGAUGAGCAUGAAACUGUUGCUUGCAGUGAAUCAUGUUUCUUGUGCUAAAGACACCAAAAGAUGGUCUGCUUCUGCAUACGUACAGUGUUCUCUGCGAACAUUUCCAAGACCAUGGUCAAACCGACCCCAUCUCGCUAAUGUCAGGGAUCGAAUCGAGGUGCGGUGGUUGAUGAGUGGCAUUUACUGUUACUACGCCAAACCCACUCGGACCACAAAAAGAAAAGGGCGUAACUUGCGUUGGAUCAAACUGAGAAGUGACUGUUUUCACCAUGAUCAGAUGGAACACAUGAUGACAGGCAAUCUCGGGCACUGAAACCAAGAGAGAAAUCAAAGAUUCCCAAGACCUCCAUUGUAAAUUUGUAAAAGAUAUAGAUAGAUGGGGAAGAAGAUCCCAAACAUGGCGUAGGUCCGAUAGGGUCGUCCGGAAGGACCAAGACAAAACAUGGUUCAAUCAUGGUGUCAUGAGCGGUCUUGUUUGGCAUGGGAACACUCACGUGAACCCCAAGCUUCGCUUCUUCAUUUGACUGACCCAAAGACCCCAUCAAACCAUAACGUAUGAAGCUCGUGUCCUCACCUCACUCCCCUCUAUCAUGUUGAUGAUAUACUCUCCGCAAAUGCGAGUGCUCUCUGAUUUAUCCAACUCUCUUUCUUUCUUCCCGUCUCUCCACCUGCAUAGCCCUCCAGAUGAUGAAUCCUUCACUUCUCUCCCUGUGUCUCCUUAUUACUACUGCCUUCUAUCUCUGCUCCUCUUCAAGCUUGCCAGCUGAUUCCUUAGUUUUGCAUGACACCGGACGACGAGCCACGAUGACAAAAGAUCUGAACAUGCCCUUUGUCAACAGAAAGCUCAAAAGCCACAACUUCAAGGUUCUUGAUGAUGAAAGGGAAACAUCAAAUGUUCGGCAGGGCAGCACUGAACUUCAGACUUUGAGCAACAAUGACAGGAUGGAUGACCUCGUGUAUCACAUCGACUACCAUGGAGUAACAACUCAUCCAACUCCAACUCCAAAACACCCCUAAAACACAGCAAACGCCGGAGAUUAUGCUUGUCCAACUUUUCAUGUAAACUCUCCAGUAUGAAAAAUCAUGUAUUAGUCGCUUGCGUCAUCAGCAACAUUCUUCAUGCGUCUUUUCCUAACAUUUCGCUUUCAUAAAGGACGUAGUUGUCACGGUAAUACACAAAAAUGAGAUGAAUUAUAAUAACAGAUCUGAGAGAAAAUUCAGCUUUGUGAUCUGCUUGCUCAAAUACAGUGACCGACCAAGGAAAUUGUCAUUCUAUGCAGUUGCAUACUUUCUAAUCUAACAGCUCUUUAUUCCUCAAGUCUCUGUGUGAUGUCUAUUGUGAUGAUAUGUCUUGCAGGUUUUAAUAGUCAAACUACAUGAAUGGACCUCCUCCCUUUACAUUCUAUACCAAAACGAAGAAAACGGAUUUUCUGUUCCCCAUCAGAAUCUAUGACAACCAUGU